rnacentral:misc_RNA from 1 species
CGUCAUUACACCACUCAAGCCUGGCUUGGUGUUGGGCCCUCAUCCUCCAUGGAUGUGCCCGGAACUUAGCGGCGGCGCAGCUCGGCUUCAAGCAGUAUUAGUUUAUGUUUCGCUUUGGAAGCCCGGGCCUGGGCCUGCCGGACAACCCCCAUGUCUUUCUGGUUGACCUCGGAUCAGGUAGGGAUACCCGCUGAACUUAA